rnacentral:lncRNA from 1 species
CUUGUCAAUCGCCAUUCACUUAUUGAAUAGGGUUCCAUCAAAGUUCGUUCCUACCACACCGUAUGAGAUAUGAUUCAGUAAGAAGCCAAGUUUAGGUUAUCUCAAGACUUGAAGAUAUCCGACUUAUGUCAAGAGAUAGAUGGCGAAUAAGUUAGAGGAUAGAUCUAUUAUAGCUCAUUUUAUAGGGUAUCCAAAAGAAUUCAUGGGAUACUAUUACUUUCCACA